CGCAGUGCCUCACACAUAUGAGGCAAGCACUCUACCGCUGAGUUGCAAUUCCAGACCCCUGCUCUUUUUUUUGAAGCUAUGAUUUGAAUCCUGUGGGAUAGGAGCAUUUGCAAGGGUGGAAGCAGAGUGACACCUGAUUCCAGGCUGUUGCUGUGAUCAGGAUGAGAGACAGUGGUGCCUGAGGUCAUACAAAGGGGUGGGAUGAUAAUGAUGGCGUGAUGUUGUGAAACUGGAUAUAUGGGAUGAGAGAAAGGGGUGUCAAGGAGGACUCAAAGGUGUCAUCUGGAACAGCUGAAGAGUGGAGUUGCCUGUUGCUGAGAUGGGGCAGGGAAAGGGGUUUGCAGGAACAGUUUGGAACAGCAGUAGGAGCAGUUGGGGCCACAUGUAGUUUAAGAUGCCUCUGUAGACAUCUGAGCAGAAACGCCAAAUAGGCAGAGUCUGGAAAGUCAGCAAAGGGUCAGGGUUGAAGAGGAAACUUGAAGUCAUCAGCACUUAGCUGUAAUUCAGAAUCAUAGGAGGGGUUGAGACCACCAAAGGAAUGAAAGUAGAUAGAGAAAAGGGGCUGCCUGUGACCUGAGGCUGGACAUUGAGUGGACACUGAGUGGACAUUCUGAUAUUCUAAACACCAGGGGAAGGAAGUAGUUUUGAUUUGUGUUUCUCUAAUUGCUAGAGAUGUUGAACAUUUUUUCAUAUGUUUGUUGAUUGAUUAUAUAUCCUUUUCUGAGAAGUGUCUGUUCAGGUCCUUGGCCCAUUUAUUGAUUAGGUUAUUUGGAAUCAUAUUGUCUGCAAAUAGUGAUAAUUUGAGUUCUUCUCUUCUUACCCGUAUCCCUUUAAUUUUUUUUUGUCUGUUUGAUUAUUCUGGCUAGAGUUUCAAUAACUGUGUUAAAUACAAGUGGUGACAGAGGGCAUCCCUGUCUUGUUCCAGUUUUUAGAGGGAAUGCUUUAAAUUUUUCUCCAUUUAGGAUGAUGUUGGCCUGGGGCUUAAGCAUAGAUAGCCUUUACAAUGUUUAGGUAUGUUCCUGUUAUCACUAGUUUUUCUAGUAUUUUGAACAUGAAUGGAUGCUCUAUUGUAUCAAAUGAUUUCUCAGCAUCUAUUGAGAUGAUUUUUAUGAUUUUUAUCUUUGAGUCUACUGAUGUGAUGAAUUGCAUUUAUUGAUUUCCAUAUGUUGAACCAACCUUGCAUUCCUGGGAUAAACCCUACUUGAUCAUGAUGCACUAUCUUUUUGAUAUGUUUUUUUAUUCAAU
rnacentral:lncRNA from 1 species